CUUCCCAGAGGCAUAAACAGGAGGCAGAGUAAAAACCUUUCUGCUUUUGAGCUUUUCCAUACCUAACUGUGGGUCUCUGCUUCCCACGCCAUCUACUUCCACAAGAUUGGCCUGAGAUGAGAAUUUUUGAGCAAGAAGUAUCAUUUGAAACUGUGCAGCCCAGUUUCAUCAUUUUACAGAUGGCCUUAGAUGGAUGAUACAGCAAGAAGGCCAGAUGCCAGCACCUUGACUUAGGACUUCUCAGCCUCCAGAACUGAGGAGAAAAGAGAAAGGAACCCUCCCAUUCAUCCUUCCGUAUCACUACUCAGAACCAAGUACCUCUGCUUCUAAACUACAUCAGGGAGUGCAACUCCCAUGGAAUCACAGGACAAGAAGAAAUGGGAACAGAUAUUUAAGAAUUUGAAUUCUGUGAGUACCUUCUAAGAUACCCCUUAUCCUGACUAAUUUGAGGUGAUGAACUCAGGAAUGUUGCAUCUUGAAUCAGAAACACCUUUGUUAUUGCAUUGUUUAUGAGCUAGAUAAAAAAUUUUUCAAGAUGCUGAUCAGAAAGAUAACGAUUCAAGGAUUCACGGCAGUGAAGUGAGAAAGUUUUUAGCACCCAAGGGGUCGGACUCAAAGGACCACGCUUCUGACAGUGAUUCUGGCAUCCUGAUGACCAGCCCAUGGUGGCACCUAGCAGUUGAUGUCAAAAGUGUAAAAGAGAAGAAAUCUGAACUGGGAGAACUGAAAUGACUCAUCCAAAUUCACACAGCUGUGUUGCUUGUAGAGCCAUGAGCAGAAGCCAUCAUCCUGGUACAGGGCUAAUUCGGCUAAAUAUCCUGUUAAUACUUCUUUCUGCAUCUUUGCAGUUAUCAAUUUCAUGACACUAUCAUUUUCUUGUUAAUGCAGCCUUUAACAUUUGAAAUUACCUUUCAUUCCUCUCAUUCCUCUCAUUCCUCUCAUCACAUUUUAUAUAUCAAUCAUUAACUGUAAAUGUUGUCCUGCCUCUUCAGACUGGUAGUCCAAAGACAUGAGUUAGAGUCACAAAAUCUGAAAAUCACAUGGUCUGUGAUCUUCUACUCUCUGGAAUUUUAAAAAUUGUAAUCACACCCUCUAAACAAGGUUUUUUGUUAAGAAUUUUAAUGAAGAACAUUAAAUGAAGAACAUGGAUUAUAACUACAUGGUGCUAAGCCAAUGUCAUCAUCAAAUGUUCAUUUUUCUCCAACCCUGAUUUCAGGAACAAAAAUAGCAGUGAAGUUGGAACAUAGUGAGUGAUAUGGUUUAGUUCUCUGUCCCCAUCCAAAUCUCAACUUGUAGCUCUCAUAAUUCCCACAUGUUGUGGGAGGGACCCAAUUGGAGAUGAUUGAAUCAUGGGGGCGGGUCUUUUCUGUGAUGCUCUCGUGAUAGCGAAUGGGUCUAACAAGAUAUGAUGGUUUUAAAAAUGGGAGUUUCUCUGCACAGCUCCCUCUUUGCCUGCUGCCAUCUAUAUAAGAUGUGACUUGCUCCGCCUUGCCUUCUCCCAUGAUUGUGAGGUCUCUCCAGCCAUGUGUAACUGUAAGUCCAGUUAAACCUCUUUCUUUUGUAAAUUGCCCAGUCUCAGGUAUGUCUUUAUCAGCAGUGUGAAAGCAGAAUAAUACAGUAAAUUGGUACCAGUAGCAUGGGGCACUGCUGAAAAGAUACCUGCAAAUGCACAAGUGACUUUGGAACUGGGUAACAGGCAGAGGAUGGAACAGUUUGGAGGGCUCAGAAGACAGGAAAAUGUGGGAAAGUUUGGAAUGCCCUGGAGACUUGUUGAAUGGCUUUGACCAAAAUGCUAAUAAUGACAUGGACAAUGAAAUCCAGGUUGAAGUGGUCUCAGAUGGAGAUGAGACACUUGGAAACUGGAACAAAGGUGACUCUUGUUAUGUUUUAGCAGAGACUGGCACCAUUUUGCCCCUGCCCUAGAGAUUUGUGGAACUUUGAACUUGAGAGAGAUGAUUUAGGGCAUCUGGCAGAAAAAAUUUCUAAGCAGCAAAGCAUUCAAGCGGUGACUUGGGUGCUGUUAAAGGCAUUCAGUUUUAUAAGGGAAGCAGAGCAUAAAAGUUUGGAAAAUUUGCAGCCUGACAAUGCAAUAGAAAAGAAAAUCCCAUUUUCUUAGGAGAAAUUCAAGCCCGCUGCAGAAAUUUGCAUAAGUAACAAGAAACCAAAUGUUAAUCCCCAAGACAAUGGGGAAAAUGUCUCUCCAGGGCAUGUCAGAGGUCUUCAUGGCAACCCCUGCCAUCACAGGCCCAGAGUUCUAAGAGGCAAAAAUGGUUUUGUGGGCCAGGCCUAGGGUCCCUGUGCUGUGUGUAGUCUAGGGACUUGGUGCCCUGUGUCCCAGCUGCUCCAGCCAUAACUAAAAGGGGCCAAGGUACAGCUCAGGCUGCUGUUUCAGAGGAUGGAAACCCCAAGCCUUGGCAGCUUCCAUGUGUUGUUGAGCCUGUGGGUGCACAGAGGUCAAGAACUGAGGUUUGGGAACCUCCACCUAGGUUUCAGAAGAUGUAUGGAAACACCUGGAUGUCCAGGCAGAAGUUUGCUGCAGGGGCAGAGCCCUCUUGGACAACCUCUGCUGGGGCAGUGUGGAACAGAAAUGUGGGAUCAGAGCACCCACACAGAGUUCCUAAUGGGGCAUUGCCUACUGGAGCUGUGAGAAGAGAACCACUGGCCUCCAGACCCCAGAAUGGUAGAUCCACUGACAGCUUGCACCGUGUGCCUGGAAAAGCAGCAGACACUGGAUGCCAGCCCGUGAAGGCAGCUGGGAGGGAAGCAGUACCCUGCAAAGCCACAGGGGCAGAGUUGCUGAAGGCCAUGGGAACCCACCUCUUGCAUUAGCAUGACCUAAAUGUGAGACAUGGAGUCAAAGGAGAUCAUUUUGGAGGUUUAAGAUUUGACUACCCUGCUGCAUUUUGGACUUCCACUGGGCCUGUAGCCCCUUUGUUUUGGCUAAUUUCUCCCAUUUGGAAUGGCUGUAUUUACCCAAUACCUGUACCCCCAUUAUAUCUAGGAAGUAACUAAAUUGUUUUCAAUUUUACAGGCUCAUAGAUGGAAGGGACUUGCUUUGUCUCAGAUGAGACUUUGGACUGUGGACUUUUGAGUUAAUGCUGAAAUGAGUUGAUACUUUGGGGGACUGUUGGGAAGGCAUGAUUGGUUUUGAAAUGUGAGGAUAUGAGAUUUGGGAGGGGCCAGAGGCAGAAUGAUAUUGUUUGGCUCUGUGUCCCCAUCCAAAUUUCAUCUUGUAGCUCCCAUAUUUUCCACAUGUUGUGGGAGGGACCAGGUGGGAGAUGAUAGAAUCAUGGGGGCACAUCUUUCCCAUGCUGUUCUCGUGAUAGUGAAUAGGUCUUACAAGAUCUGAUGGUUUUAAAAAGGGGAGUUUCUUUGCACAAGCUCUCUCUUCGCUUGCUGCCAUCUGUGUAAGACAUGAUUUGCUCCUCCUUGCCUUCCACCAUGAUUAUGAGGCUUCUCCAGCCACAUGGAACUGUAAGUCAAAUUAAACCUCUUUCUUUUGUAAAUUUCCUAGUCUUGGGUAUGUCUUUAUCAGCAGCAUGAAAGUGGACUAAUACAGUGAUUAAGGGAUGAAAUAUUAGAAGAAAAGAUAAACCAGGAAGUGUGGUCCAGGUUAUUUAGGGCCUUGAAGUUCAUGGCAAGAAGUUUGGGUUUUAUUUUCAGUGCAUUGGGAAGUCAUUUGAAGGGAAUUGAGCAGGGGUCUCAUAUGAUCUUGUUUUCAGUGGAAAGAUUAUUGUGUCAGCUUCAUGAAUUGCAGAUGCGGCAAGGUAGGGAGAAAAUCACAGCUAUUGUAGCAAGGUAUGGAGAAAAUCACAGCUAUUGUAAGUCUGGAUGAGAGCUAAGAGCAAACUGGGCCAUGGUGGUAGCAAAGAAAAGAGAUAGAAGUGGAUAGAUAUGUGAUAUGUGUUUGGAAAGAUGUGUGAAGUUGAGCUAGUCUGCUCACUGUCCCAGAAACAGACCUACUCAUGUUUGUCUCCUUAACUUGUCCUAUUUCUUGGCUUGCCCUGUCUCACUUUCAAAGUCCUAUAUUCAGUCUCUUUUCCUUCAUUAAAUACUUUCUUGAAUAUUCUGCUUGUUCUCUCCUGUAAACUUUUUUGUUUUUUGAGACAUUAUCUCACUCUGUUGACUAGGCUGGAGUACAGUAGCAUGACCUUGACUCACUGCAGCCUUGAUUUCUUGGGCUCAAGUGAUCCUCUUGCCUCAGCCUCCCGAGUAGCUGGCACCACAGGUGCACACCACCAUGCCUAGCUAAUUUUUUUUUGUAUUUUUUGUAGAGAUGGGGUUUUGCCAUUUUGCCCGGGCUGGUCUUGAACUCCUGAGCUCAAGCAAUCCACCCGCUUUGGCCUCCCAAAGUGCUGGGACUAGAAACAUGAGCCACUACACCCAGCUUCUUCUCUGAACUUCUAAAGAAAAUACUCUUUCUUCAAUUAUUUCAUUUUUGUCAGUUUUGCUUUUCAUUUAUAGAUUGUGAAGCUCCUUGAUGAUAAGAUUUUAUUCUUUAUUUCUUUAUCUCCAUGAGACCUAGCACAGUACUAGGUUCAAAAUAAAUGGAGAUUAAAUAACAGAUUAAUAAUAUGGCAUCUCAUAAAAAUCAAUUAAUCAAACAAACACAACGUAAAAAAACUAAAACCUCUCAAUAAUUGGCCUAGAAAGUGAUAGAACAUGGAACGUGACCACAUUGAGCAAACUGAUUUACUGUGAUCCACUAAAUGUAUUUAUCAUAAGGUAGGUGAGGUACAAAAAGUUAUAAUUUUCUAGGACAACUGGGUGGAGUCCCUAGGCUAAGCCACAGGUUGUCCUUUCUUGCUGCUGCAAGCUGUACACUUGACUUGUGGCUGUAGCAACACAGAGAAUCUGGAGCCAAAAGCACUGUUACAGUGCUUUCAGUCUUUAGGAAACUCUUUUUAAAAAGUUAAGCAUUGUUGAGAAAAUCUCAGGGAACACCGUGUGACUCUUCAGUAUACCACAUGGUGAUGUAAACUGCAUUGCUCUAAAGAGGGUCAAGGAAAAUUACAACUAUUCCAAGACUUAAAUCUUGUGAAAUGUAGUUAGAAACCAAAAAUUAUAGUACUGAAUAUGUAUGUCUAGGAAGAGAUUUUACAUGAAGUACUAAAUGUAUUUUAACAAAUGCCACCCAACAUAUUUGAUUGUGUAAUUUUCUGAAAGAAUUACCUAGUACAGUCAUGUUUUAUAUAUGUCUUUGUUGAUCCAUGGACAGGACAAGCCACAGAUAAUUAAGGAUGAAAUUGUAUAUGUAUCAUCUAUAAAAAAAAGAAAUAAAAACCCACAGUCUUCAAACUUACCAUUAAGACUCCUUUCAUCUCAUAGCUCACUAGCAAAUUGAAUUUAUAAAGCACCUCUCACACAAAAAGUCAGAGAGCAAAGCACUAAAGCAAAACAAAUACCAGUGAUUAAGGAAAAUUGAAAGCAGCAGUAAAAAUAUGUUUCUUUAGCCUACUUUUAAAUACAGACUGAGAACUGCAAAUAAUUGGGAGUAUAUAUAAGUGGUAAUUUUUUUGUCUUCAUGAUUGCAUGGUAUUGAAUACAAAUGAGAAAAAUUGUUGCUGCAAAACUCAGCAAUCCUUAUGAGAUUAUUUUAAACAUUCACUUAAUUAAUUUAGUAAUAAAUUUAAAUUACUCAAAUAUUUUGUCAUUUCUUAGACUGGCCAGUUUUGAUGUGCUUCGUGUUUACUUUUGGUGAUUUGAAGAGAAAUUAUUUAAAUGGUCUUUCCUAAUCUGAGACAGUAUCAAAGAAAGAAGGCAAAUUUUCUAUAAGUUUCAGGUCUUCAUAGCAUUAGUGUACCAUUUAAAUAUUCCAGAGAAAGUAUUUUAUUCGACAUUGAUCAAUGUUCAGAUAAUUUUCCAGGGGAUUUGUGACUCUUCAGUGGGAUAAAACUGAACUGUUUAGAGGAGUCAGUGAAAUAAAAUACUUGGGCACCGAUUUCAUGGUGGAUGGCUGUUGUCAAUCAUUGCUUCUUUUAGCAUAACCAUUGGCCACUGAAGUACUUCAAAGAAUAUUCUGGCAGCCAAAUAUUUGGAGAAAGAAGGGGAAAAUAGAAACUUUAGAGUUCCUUUUUAUCUGUAAAUACAUAUUUUUUUUUCCAGCAGAGCUGUUAAAGACAAUUUAAUAAAAUAUUGAUUUUGGUAACUAGACAUUAGGAUUGAAGAAGUUAAGUUUUUAAUUUAAAAAUUUGGGGGACUGCUUUACUCUCUCUCCCAAGCUCUCCCUACCUCUCUUACUCUUUAACCUGUUUCAUUCCCUUUCUGUCCUUUCCCAUUCCCUCUCCCUCCUUUCCCAUUCCCUCAUUCUUUUGCCAACAACCCCCGCCCACCCCCCACCUUUUUUUUUUUUUUUUUUUUUUUGAGAUAGGGUCUCACUCUGUCACCCAGACUAGACUGGUGCAGGGUGUUCACAGCUCACUGUAAUCUCAGCCUCCUGAGCUCAAGCGAUUCUUCCGCUUCAGCCUCUCAAGUACAUGUGACUACAGGUUCACCCCACCAUGCCUGGGUAAUUAAAAAAAAAUGUUUUUUUGGUAGAGAUGGGGUUACUCAGGCUUGUCUCGAACCCCUGGCCUUGAGUGAUCCUCCUGCCUAGGCCUCCCAGAGCCCAGGGAUUCAGGUGUGAGUCACUGUGCCUGGCCAACACCCAAAUUUUAACAGUUGUCCUGACUCAUGUACCUUUCAAGCUUAAAAGAGAACAUGCGCCCGGCUCUGUGGCUCAUGCCUGUAAUCCUGGCACUUUGGAGGCCAACGUGGGCAGAUUGCCUGAGCUCAGGGAUUUGAGACCAGCCUGGGCAACAUGGUGAAACCCCAUCUCUACUAAAAUGCAAAAAAAUUAGCUGGCGUGGUGGUAUGAACCUGUAGUCCCAGCUACUUGGGAGGCUGAGGCAGGAGAAUUGCUUGAACCCGGGAGACGGAGGUUGCAGUGAGCUCAGAUCGCAAAGGUAAAGAAGGAAGUGCUUGUUGUUAUUAGGGUGAGAGGGUAGCAUUUGUUAAACUUGGCUAGAGCCAGUGCAAAUAGAAUUUGGGAAGGUCUGGUGAUUUUUUCAUAGCUAUUUACAAGCUACUACUCCUCAGCAUGCAACUCAAAGGACAUUUUGAGUAUUAAUAAGAUUAUUUCAUGAACUGCUUUGAUUUUGUUUGCUGAAAUGUACCUUAUAAAUUAUGAUUUUACGAUUGAAGAGUAUAUGUAGAUUUAUAUUUUUUUCUCUCUCUUUUCAGAAUUAUGUUGAAUUUCUCAAUCAGGCAGAUUUCUAAAUGUGAGAUAAUUGCUAUAAAAUUGUCAGAAAGUUCCAAAGCAGUCUGAAACACAGUAGUGGGUUCAAUCAAUGAUUAGUUUCAUUUCUUUUCAAAGGCAUCACUAGAUUUUCCUUAUGGCUCUGGAGUUGUUUUCAAACUUUGUUCUUCUGAAUCACCUGAAGUACUUGAUAUGAAAAGAAUCUGCACAGGUGUAUUUACCUAGGUGAUCUCCAGUAUGGCGAUUCUUAAUUGUCCAUCUCAGCUUUUGGAAUAUGUGGAAAGCCAGGCUCUGAUCUGGAUAAUGACACAAGGAUGUUGGCAGAUUAUUAUGUCUCUUGAUUUCAGGGAGUUUAGCUUUAUUUUUGUAGUGAGGUGCAUUAGUUGAGGAAGAUCCAGUACCAGAUGGUAAUGUUGGCUGGGAGUGGUUUUCUCACCUACAUUUGGCAGCUUUACUCGGAAGUGGUGCUUUCAGUGCCUGAGACUUCCAGUCUAUGCUACUUAACAUGAUCAUUGGGAAGCUUUAGGUGGUAUAGAAGCAAUGACACAUCUCAUUAAAGGUCCCAUAACUAUGAACAUCUGACAUCUGUGCUGCAAAUAGGACUGAAUAAAGCCUUCAAGUGGUUACAGAUUCAAGGGGUAUGUUGUUUUUUAAAGGCACGGCUGAAAUUCGUUAUAUUUACCAGUCUUGUAAUUUCUAGAGGCAUUUUUGACUGGAAGACAUAGAUUACACAUUAAUAAACUGCUCCUUUCAAAGAUGACCUCCUCCUAAAUGGGUUCCCUCUUUCCCAGCAUUUAGACAAUGGUUUCAGCUGAUGGCUUAUCCAUGAUUUAGCAAUAAUCAUAACAAUAGCUAUCAUAAUUUGAUACCUAUAAUAUGCUAGGAUACUUUAUAUAUAAGUGAUACAAUAGCUCUCCAAGAUAUUCCCACUUUGUGGAUGAGGAACCUGGGGCUCUGAGGAAUUAAGGAACUUGCCAAAGACCAUAAAACUCCUAAGUGACAGAGCCAGGAUUCUGCCAGCUGUCUGGUUGCCCAGUGGAGUCUCUGUCCAUCUUGUCACCAGCCCCCGCACUGUGUACAGGAAUGGAAUCAGCAUUCAUUGCUAUAAACUGCAGUAAGGUCAAGGAGGCAGAAUUUGCUGCAAGGAAGUAAAGAGUCCCUUCUACCUUUGCCAGUGCUACUUACCAGUUAAAAAAAGACAUCGUUUUUUGUGAUCCAUACUCCUGAAGGCCAAAAGCACCCAGUGGACAGACGAUGGCUCUUACGCCUCCAAUGCCAAGGCAAAUGGUCAGCAGUGCUACAUAAAACAGCCUGUGCUGCUCUGUUUUUGCUGGAUGGAGCCUUCUUUGCCACAAACAGAGUUGAGAAAGCUGGGGACAGAGGAGUGUGAGUGGAAGGAGAGGGGACCUAAAGUGACAAAAGAAGAUUCCAAAGUUGGGAUUUCCAUCCUGUCUGAUGACUGACCUCAGAAUUUAGACUGAUAGAAAUUACCAUGUUAAACAAGAAGUCAACAAAUGCUACUGGUGUGGCCUGUUACCAAGAACUAAAGCUGUGAAGUUUCCAGGUUUGACUUAAACUCCAAUGGAUUCUCUGAAUGGUAAAUUCUGAUAAAGAAGCCAGAGAAGACUGGAAAAACUGGACCAAGAAACUAGUUCCGUUGGGAACCCUGAGUAAGGCAAUUUGAAGGAACUGGAAACUCAACAAAUGAGAAAGAAGAAGUCAGGAUCACAGACUAUUGAUAUAAUCAAAUAAUAAUAAUAAUAACAAAUACAAGAGAAUACUUUCUAUGUACCAGUGUGUCCGGAAUUGUUCCUUCCAGUGGGUUCUUGGUCUCGCUGACUUCAAGAAUGAAGUCACGGACCCUCGUGGUGAGUGUUACAGUUCUUAAAGAUGGUGUGUCUGGAGCUUGUUCCUUCAGAUGUUCCUGAGUUUCUUCCUUCCAGUGGGUUCGCUUGACUUCAGGAGUGAAGCCGCAGACCUUCGCAGUGAGCGUUAUAGCUCUUAAAGGUGGUGCGUCUGGAGUUGUUUUUUCUUCCCGGUGGGUUCGUGGUCUUGCUGACUUCAGAAGUGAAGC
rnacentral:lncRNA from 1 species